UACGGAGGGGGCUAGCGUUGUUCGGAAUUACUGGGCGUAAAGCGCGCGUAGGCGGCUUUGUAAGUUAGAGGUGAAAGCCCGGAGCUCAACUCCGGAAUUGCCUUUAAGACUGCAUCGCUAGAAUCAUGGAGAGGUGAGUGGAAUUCCGAGUGUAGAGGUGAAAUUCGUAGAUAUUGGGAAGAACACCGAUGGCGAAGGCAGCCAUCUGGACCGACACUGACGCUGAGGCGCGAAAGCGUGGGGAGCAAACAGG
rnacentral:rRNA from 1 species